rnacentral:sRNA from 1 species
GAUAUUUCGUGUAAUCAACGUGCAUUGAACUUUCGCACCUCGUCGCCUUUUGUUUUCCAUUUGUUUAUAUCUCGUCGGGCCUACGAAAUUGAGGCAGGUCGCUCUUUUACGGCCAAAUAAGCCUUUCAUAUCAGGCGGAAAUUUAAGCGACAUUCGCCCACUGCCAGAAAUUGUUUUUGGGGAAUUUAUGUCUAUAAACAUCCGAUUCGAUUUGGAUUCCACAAAUUCAUUCAAAUAUUGCCUCUCCAAACAAUCGUGAUGAUUUACACAACUUGAUGAUUUAUGAAACUAUGAAAUCACAUUAAGAAACCAUUGGAUAUUUAUAAUAUUUCGCAUUGCCGUUGUAUUUCACCGUGUAAAGUUUCCAUUCAGCGGAAUUAGCAUAUGUUUAUAACAUUUUUGGCAUAUGGAAAUUUUCUCUUUAACAACAUGUUUAUUUAACUGGCAUUUGCUAAGGAGACAUUUGAUACCCAUUUGUUGUGACGAGAAUACCGUCUAGUAAAACGUUUUCCCACAUUUUAAACAUGCUAGUUUUGUAGCUUUCAGGGCAUAUUUACGUUCACACCUUUUUAAUGUUUUUUUGUAGCUAUUUAAAUGAUUUACAAAUAUUUGAUUAAAACACACUUGUAUAAUCACCAUGUAUGGUAUGCAAAUUUGUUGCAAAUAUUAUAGAAAACUUUCUUAAUGUCUUAUGUAUUAAAUUUUCCCCAGUGCAUUAUCGGCUUUUUGUUUACUAUUUGCCGAAGACAGCGAGUGCUUUAUUUUCCGCACAUUUCACAAAAAAAAUAAUGAAUUUGCAUAAUGUUUCACACGCCGGCCCCCAACGCACACACACAAAUGCACUCUCACUCAGUUGCAGCAGCUCCACUCUCUCUCUCUCUUAAUAUGCUAACUUCCUCACUCGCAAGUUGCCGAUGCACUUGCAUCACUCUCUGCUUCCUCUCUCCCACUCCCACUCGAUAGCUAGAGUUCGCUCGCGAGAGCCUCAGCGCCGCUCUCUCUUUUGUGGCUGCUGCCCGCUCGCUCAGAAUGGAUCUUUGGCUCAGUGUGCUUUGAGCUGUGCUCGCGAGCGUUUCGCAGAAAUAUUGCUGAAUGCUUUAAUGAUUUUGUAUUUAUUCAACGCGUCACUGUCGCGCGCGUUGCCAUAAAACCAAAUAGAUCGUAAAUUAGGUGUUUCGAAGUUCGAACGCCUCUUUUGCCGCUCUCUCCCAUUGCGUUGUAUCUUUGUUCAACGAAUUUCGAGACACGGCGGCAAGCAAAUUUGAUUAACAGCUAUCAAAAUUGUAUUUUUGCGCUUCGACGUGUCGGCAUUUAAUCAGCAAUUCAUUUCGGUGUUUCCAAUAAUUGGGCAAAAUCGGAAUCCCAAGGCCCGCAUUAAAACUUCCGUUUGUCACCUUAUAAGGUGGUCAUCAUAAAAAAGCGAUGAAAACCAAACCAAAACAGUGCUAACAACGAAUGUGUAACAAACGUGUAUGCAAAUCAAUUGUUCCGUGUUCGCAUUCAGGGUCACUUCCCCUUUGUAGCGGCCUCCUCCAAGUGCUUAGCUCCACUCCCGUUGGUAAGUUUGGCGGCUAAUGAGUUUGCUUUGUUGGGCAUAGAUUGAGAUCGCUGUUAGUCGGGUGCAGUGUCCUUGAAAACGAGCCAAACAGUGGGAGGUGCACUGGGAGAAAAAGGGUGUAACAAUCACUUACUGAUUGAAGUUAAUGCCCCAGCAUAAGGUUUAUAGUUACUUUCAUAUAAAGUUGUUACUUAUAUUUUCGAGUGCAUAAAAUCACUGCCAUCACUGACCUCGCAACCUCGCCUUUUGGCCUGGCCAAGUGCAGUAAGUAGUUGGCUGAAUGUAGAGCCACGUGCAGUGGUUCUCACUGGUGGCCAACGAGCCAGCAAGCCACCCAAAACACCCAAUCCAUCCAAGCACCCAUAAAACAUUCGUGGCCAGUGGCCAGUGGCCAGAGUCCGAGUCAGACAACGCCCCAAUUCGGUUUGUUGGUUUCUGGGCCGCAGCCGAAAGUGAAUUCUAUGGUUUUCCCUUCUGGUUUCCACUCGCAUGCCAGGUUUGAUGUGUGUUUUCAUUUUAUUUUCCGCCCAUCGAGAGCGCCUCCUCAUCCGCCGGCUUGGAAAAGCGGCCAACGAUUGUCCAUGCAUGGCGCACAUAAUUGGCCCAAACGCCAAAUCGACAACGCAUUGUUAUUGCGGCUCGAGAUGUUGGCGUGACGAGCGGCAAUCCUGUCGAGGCAAACACCUUGGACUUAAUGGUGCUUUCUAUCAAGGUCUCUUCAGAAGUUACGGGCUGUUGCGGCUAAUGCCUCUUUAGCUGCUUUCGAUUAAAGAUUCUUGGAGUUCUUUAAUGAAGGUAUGAAUCUACUGCUGCAAUUUGUAUGUGAGUGUUUGAGUAGCUGUAUUGAUUUGCGAUUAAUGCUUUCAUUGCCUCACUUAUCGUAUCUCAGUCAAGUUCGUGACAUUAAAGUUAUCACAUAUAUUUUAUAUUUCUUUUUUACGAGCUCCAAUAUUGUGUCGCUGGCAAAUUUGAUUGAUGAUAAACCUUUGGCAGCGUUUUGUUACAAAUUAAUGUCCCAACUCUAACUUGACUUUAAACCGUAUUUAGUUACCGAUUUCUCGCAUAUAUCUUUCGCUUUUAAUUGCCAUAUUAUGCAAACCCGAUUGAGAUUCGAGUUGCUGGCUUCCAGCUCUGGACUCUAGACUUCAUAGACCAUCUCGCACAUAGAAACUGCCUGGAGGCUCAUCAUUCUGGUAAACAAUUUGCCCAGCAAUUUGUGAGUGCCCGCCUGGCCACUCGUUGCUAUUUUAUUGGCUUGUAUGGCGGAUGGCUCCAUCGAUUUCCAAGUCAUCGCGCGAUCGUCGAACCCCUCCACUCGAGACCCGCCCAACAAAACGCUUUGCCUCCCAUGAGCACAGGCCAUUAUGAUUGUUAUUCCUUUCUUUCUUUUUUUUAGCCUUAUUAUUUUUUAUAUAUUUCCAUCGCAGCGCUGCUCGCAACAAUGUGUUCCCCUUAUAAACUUAUCGUUUGUCACUUGGCUCUAUCUAUCUGUGGUAUCUCUCGGAUCCAUCGAUUCACUCCAGUGGUGCGGCGACUGGUUUCGGGUGGUUGGAUGUCUCUGGUGGGGAAUACGGGGCACAGCCAUUGACAUUCACAGCACACUCCCCUGUCCGUUGUCCGUUGCUUUGUUUCUAAUAAAUAGGAUGCAAAACAAAUAGAAAAGAAUAUUUUAUUGGGGAAAUAAUAGAAGGGAAAUAAGUUGUGAUUCAAUAACACAAUAGACUCUCCACCUUUGUGGUUGUUGGUCUAUGGAAACUUUCAAAUGACCCAUAAAAUAUGCUUGCGAAACACAUAACUUAGUUAUAGGAUAUUUGUUCAUGAAUUAUGUCAUUCUGUUACGGAAUAUAUCAAUAUAAACUAUCAAAUACCUAUGGAUGUACCUUCCCAACUUUCGCUUAUAAGAUUGGUUCCUUAAGCUCCCCCACAACUUCUUAGCCAAUUACAUUUGACUUUGACUUCAAACUCCAAACUGCUGCCCACAUUCCUUGUGUUGGUUUGUUUCCAAUUUCCUACAACGCUACAAGCCAACACGACCAAGUAGCUCCUCCACCGAUAGCCACCAUAGCUCACAUGCUCACAUUGGCGUUGGCUUGGGGUCGUCAAUCGUCAUCCAGCGUCGUCAUCGUCAAGUUGUUACGCCCAAAUUUGGCAGCAGAUUCAAAUCAGGCGGCGAGCGCCCCUCGAUCGUUUUAUUUAUUCACUCCACCGGCAGUUAAUAUCUUGUUUGGACCUGGUCCGUCUGUCUAGUGGCUGGUGGCGUUGUUCUAAGCCUUCGGCACUGGCUAUUACUCACGACCGACCUUUGUUUGCUAUCCGAAUGCGAUAAAUGGGUUUUAUAUGAAAGUCGCAUAUGGAAAUAUAGAAAUCUGAGUAUGGAACGGUGUUAAGUAUGCCAGGUUCACUGAGCACGACGUGGGCGUUUCGCGAUUGAUUCCAAUGGGAUGGCAUAGUCACUUGGAGUGGAGAUGCCUUGGGUGGAGCUCCCUCCAUAGGCACAUUCCAUAAGGUAAUCCAUGAAAUUGUUACUGUGUUUAUUGUUUGAUCAUAAACGUUCGAUGGGGUUACCUAAUAAUCUGGUUAUUAACUAUCGCAUCUCCUUAUACAAUUUUCCCCGCGAAGUACCAUCUUACAUACAUGGCUGAUCAUAAGGAAAAUAGCUGAUAGAUUUCCGCAAUAAAAGCGUUAAUGCAAAAGUCAUACAUCAAUGACGAUCGCUUAAUGUUUAAAGCCUGCCAUUAGCUAUUUAAUUACACGAAUUUCGUGUAGAAUAUUAAGUAAACCAACAUUGCUGGCCAUAUAUGGACUUAAAUCAGCCACUUGCGAAUGCUGGGAAAGAAUGAAGUCAUAUCCGAGCGCAGAACGUGCAAUUAUCGAGUUACAAGUGGAUUCGCUUAAGUUUUCCGUUUUCCCUCGGCUGCUGAUUGUGCCGUUCGUUGCUGAUCACCUCAUGCAUGUCGCCAAGUGAGCCAUAAAUUACAUAAUUGCCGUACGUUUAUCUACUGGAUACGGCCAGUGGUGGACACCAGUACAGAUAUCUGUGAUCCGUGGCCUUUGUUUUCGGUUCGGAGCGUUCAUUGAACCCCCUGAGCAAACGUAGCUCUCUGAGCCCAACUUGCGGCCAGGAAAAUCCUCAAGAUACAAUCUGGCUAGUUGCAGCGAUCGAUUUUUGCCAGCUGAUUGAGUUACUCUUUGUUUGCCCGCCAGACAGACGGACUUUUGCACACGAUUUGCAUGAUUAACCGCCUGAUGGAGUGCGCAGCUUAUUAGUGCUCAUGUUCAGCGUGUAAGCUGUGUCUUUGUAUGCAAAUUUUAUAUAUAGAAUUUUAUUAUAAUAUAUGCGGUUUGAUCGUGCCUAAGAGAGUUUCCUUGUCUACAAUAACAUUGCAUUCCUUACACUUUUAGAAAGCAUCAUUAGGAGGGGCUUAUAUAAAUAACUGGUAAAGCACUUCGAUUGGCGAUAGCUUUCAGUUUCAACUUCAAUCAGAGCCAAAAGGAUUAUUAAUUUAGGAAUUCAUUGCCCAUGCCCCGAGUUUGCACACCUUUGCCAAGGUGUCAAAUGAAGCAUGUUUUGUUUUAUUAUAUUCAACAAACAAACUUUACCUUUCUGUCAACUCUCGGUGAACUGUGCAAAUAUUGGCUGGGCAAACAUCUCUUAAUGUUUCCAUUGUUUACGCAUUUCAAAUGCAGCGCCAUUCGUUUGGCAUGCACUUGCUUCCGAGAUAACAAAUUGCCAUGGAAAUUGAAAUUCUAUAUGUUUGCCGGUCUCCUCCAGCCUGCAAACCCGUAGAAGGAAGCAACCGGGCGAGGGUCAAUCCAUUGCGGUUUGCGGGAGGUGCCAUGUGUCCAAUGGGGUAAUGCUAGGAGCUGCCAACUGGGUUUUUCAUGGAGAUUCCGGUGGGUGCGACCGAUUGACGUCACACGGCAGAUAUUGUGUGAAUUUGGAAUUCAUUAUCAUGGCAGAGCCACAGACAAGUGCUUGUAGAUUGGCACUUUUGGUUUGAAAUUUGUGUAAAUAUAAUAAUAUUAUAAAUUCAAAUAUAUGAUAUUUAAUCAAAUAGCGGUUUCGUGCCAUUGCAAUAUGUUCUUGUCACUGCUGAAAUCGAAAUUAAUCAGAAUUCAACUUUGAGUUAGUCACUUCCUGUUGGGAUGCGUCAACGCACUGCUUAAUUACUUGAGUUCUGAAUAAUUGGCCACGCGAAAAUGAUAAAAAGUUUAAUGCAUUUAGGCAGCUUGCAAUAAAGCUAAGCAAAUUUAAUAACUUAUGUGAGCUGUGCACUUGUGUUUGUAUGUGUGCGUAUGUAUGUGCAGUUCCGUGUGAAGUAACUCAUGCUUUUCUCUCUCUUAUU